rnacentral:lncRNA from 1 species
AAAAGAUGUAAGAAAUGUGACGGCACGAGGACAGAAGCAAUACCAGAAUUUACCAACUUUUCUAAGAGCAGCAUUUUCAGUCACAGUGGCAGAGAUUUCUUCAGGAGCAUAGGGCUGACAGCAAGGUGACUGCAUGUAAAGCCGUUGGAAUAGAUCAUUCAUGGCUAUUCUGUGAAGCUCAACCACAUCUCAAGGCACUCAAAGGAAAGGAUUUCCAAUCUUCCAGCAGGGUUUGGACGCCCAUUUCAAAUGGCUUAAGGCAGUUUUGAAAAUCUCAGUCAAGAGCUAAUUCUUACUUUAAAAAAAACCAACAACUAUCAGUAUUUAUCAGUAUUGUUUAUCUAAGUAUUUAGCUUAUCAUUUAUGCACUCCAAAUGCUCUACACAAAGCCAGUAAUUCUUAAAUUCAAGUCAAGAAAAAAAAGUAAAGAUUCUCAUGACUAACUUCUGUGGUCACACAAGAAACUCCACAAAACAAAAACUAAGAAACACCCGAAGAGAAGACCAACAAUUUUGUUCAUUCAUUUCUUUCACAGAAGCAACCAACUACAGCCCUCCUAUCAAAGCGGAAGAACUUCUGGAGAUAGCUCAUGGUCUGUGUUUACCCUAGCAGUCAUUCCUUGUGACUCUUCCAUCUGGCCCACUGCCACUGACCAAAAUAUUGCCUUUUACUGCACUCAUGUUUCCAUCAUAAUUGCUUCUCCCUCCUCAGUGCCAAAAAGAAAUGACAUCACAUUUUAAAUUGAAUUAUUACUCCAGAAUGCUCAUCUUCUGUGAAUUCUCUCCAUUUUUUUGUGCUCUGGGGAACAAGUUAUGCCUUUCUUCUGCAUUUUGAACAGCGUACAGCUAAGACCUUACCAAACAGCAGAAAAUAUGGCUGCAGCUACUGUCACACCACGUGUGCCUAGGCAGGCCUCUUAGCAGCAGAUAUUUUCCAAAGGUUUUGCUUCAGAGCCUCAGAGAACAUCUUUAAGGAAGACCAAAGACUGCUGGCCGUGUUGAGAUACCUCCAGCUGGAGUGAAGCAGCUCUGUACACUCAGAGAAGCUCGCUUCUUAGCAACCUCCAACCCCAGUCUGGGGAAAACACUGCUCUUUUCUGCACAGACCCAUCAAUCAUUUCAUCCCCAACCCAGCUCCUCGCUCAGCAUCAAACGUCUAAGGCAGGGUAACGCGGGUGGAAAUCCUUGUUUGCUAUUAACAGCAGCAGCUGGGGCUUUCACCUUUUUUGUCACCUCAGGACCAGAGCUGGGCGGAAACCUGAGGAGCCAUGACCAAUGUGAUGUCGGAUUAGCAUCGCUCUGUGACACUGUCAGCAGCAUUUUGCUGGGCUCUUUAAGAGAAUAUCCUGCUGUGAUUCACAACAAGUCUUGUGUUUGAGAGACACAGAGAUCUCAUCCAGCAAAUUAAAAUGCGCUACAGGGAAUUUCAGCGUUUCUGCUUGGAGGUCUCCCAGGGACCGACCUAAGUGGCGUGUGCUGUGUCGAGAGCAAGAGCCACCUGCUCCAAAACACCCGGACCCUGAGCCACCGCGACCCACCUGUGACAAAGGAGCACAGCCGAUGGAACGAGGGGGCUGGAACAAGGGCUGAUUCCCAGCUACAGUUUGGCAAAAUAAGAAAUAGGUUCAUGGCACUUCAGCAAUUUGUCUAAAACGUGUUGGAUCACGUAUCGGUAACUCUUCAAUACAUUCUGCAUUAUUCACUGACAUAUAUUUGUUAUCUUAAUUACUAAUUACAAAAAGUGGCAUGACUCAUUUACAAGAUGGGUUGGAGAGACCACUGGUUUUACCAGACUUGCCUGCUGUAUUGCUGGAGUUAUGGUAGGUAUAUGCACAGCUGGCUGUGAAUGAAUUACAACAGAAGCCUGCUGCUUCAAAACCUUCUCACUUCAGUCUGUUUUAUCUGCUCUGGGACAGGCAAAGCAUUAGGUACUAAACGCAGAACAGAUCAGGGAGCUGAAACUCACUGAAAUAUUCAUAACAUUCUGAAUUUGAAAAAACGCUGAGCGGCGUGUGAAGAAAUGCAGGAAUCAUUUGCAUUUUUGCACGACAAAUACCAUAGUGCAGAGAAAAACGCUGCAUCCCUUACAAGCAACAACAGAAGUGCACAGGCAGGAGGAAAUAAGGAGAAGAAUGUAAAUGCUUUCACUGCAACAUGCUAAAAAUACAGGCUUUAGUACCUGUUUUCUUGUAAAAUGGGCUUUUUUAUUUCCACAAAUGUUAGAACUGUGGGUUAGCAUCUCCUUGGGAGGCAAAUGCGUUGAUCAGCACAGCACGUGCUAAAUCCAACACCGGCAGUUGCUUCCCUUUUAGCUGAAAGCACGGAGUGCCAUCAGUUGCAGUGC